ACUACUUGAAACCAGUGAACAAAUCAGAAAAUAAAGCUGAACAUUAAUGCUGUUUGUUCACCUUUUUCAAAUGUUAUCAUUCCUCGACUUGCUCCAAUAUCGCUGGCAUUAAAAGAAGNGUUGCUACUAGAUAUGGUCCAUUCAGCUGUGGCACGUCCUGCAGUCCCAUCUCUGACCACCAGUAGAAUAACGUUCCUUGAUGAAGGUCCUUCUGGCUCCUGUACGGGAAUGGUUUGAUGGAGUUUUUCAAAACCAAUUUCACCAUCGGCGUCCGAUGCUGUGACGUUCAGGAAUGACCACAGAGAAAGAAGCACUUGUUUNUCCACUUGAGAAGGUUACNUNUCCACUUGGCACCAAGCUUAGUUCGUUGGACGGUGAGCCUGAACCAGGGAGGUAAUACUCAAUGGAGUAAUUGACAGAUAUGGAUCGUAAUGUUCCACCAUUGCGUUCAAUCUCUAGGCUUAACUGACGUGGUGUUGUGUUCUACGAUACGAAAAUUACCGAGUUUUUUCUGCGGCUGGUCAAAAAAACAAUAAAGAAAACCAACCAACCUGAAUAAUUUUCUGCUGGCUUUGACUGGAAAACUCGACGACACCAUAAACUGAAUCGCUGUCAGACACAAAGAACACAGCUCUGCGUGCUUCUUGUGUGUUGUCAAGGCGACCUCCACCCGU
rnacentral:misc_RNA from 1 species